GCUGACGUAGCUCAGCUGGCUAGAGCGACGCAUUCGUAAUGCGUAGGUCGUGGGUUCGAGUCCCACCUUCAGCUCCA
rnacentral:tRNA from 1 species